rnacentral:lncRNA from 1 species
UUUAAACUAGCAAUAAUUUUUUUAAAUCAUUAUACUUUCUAAUUUGUUCUCCAUUUUGUAUUAACUAUUUUUUAGGUUGUAAAACUCUAACGAAUACACCUAAGAUAUUUUUUUUUUGCAUAGUGCCCAUGGGCACAUGCAAUUACUAGUAAUAUAAAACACAAUUAUUUUUUGAUCUAAAAACUAUCUCCCACUAUCUACGUUUAAAAUUUAUUUCGUUAAGUAGAAAGCAAACUAUAGGUGAAUUAAUAGGUUUGCUACAUUUAAUGCCAAUUAAAAUUUGCUUUAUAAUAAUAAAUCAUAUGCCACUUCUAAUCAAAUAUAUAUAAUCAAUACAUAUGAUAGAGAGAAGAAGUGCAACGAUUUUACUGGUUCAGCGAAUCCUUGCUUACGUCCAGAUCUCCUUUGGAUAUUGCUUUCACAAGCUUAUGGAUACUUGCCAAACCUUUACACACUAGAAUUCGAUAGUCUUCAAGAAAUUCCCUUUCUUGGAAUAUCAACAAUAAGGUUGCGGGUGCUUAUCAAAACUUUACACACUAGAACUCGCUAGUCUUCAAGAAAUUUCUUUUCUUGGAAUACCACCACUAGAAAACCUCUAGUCUUCAUGAGCAACCUCUCUUGGAAUACAAUCUAUUAUCCAAUGUGAUUUCUCUCAAUGAAUGAAGUAAAUGUUGUAGCAAUCAAUACUCACAACCUCUAGAAGAAAAAUAAAUACAAUGAUAACUCUUCUCUAGAGUGAUUUUUCUCUAUUGAUUUUUCGAUCUUUUUCAAAUAAAACUCACAAUGAAUGAUGAAGAGUUGAAGUGUUGUUUAUAAGUAUAACAUGAAUUUAUAGCACUUCAAUGUCUUUCCAACAACCCCAAGGGUUGUAUUUAUAAGCCCAAAUUAAAAUAUAGCCAUUCUAGCAUUGAAUGCAUUGAACUAGAUGUUCUGUUUUGAACUUAGUCGUUGGAUCUGGAAUUUUGACGCGCAUGAUUAAAACCUGGAACUUAAGUCGACCUAUCUUAACUUAGGUCAUCCCCAAUUAGUUUUGUUCCAACUUAGGUCGACCUAACUUCACUUUAGGUCGUCAGCUAAGCUCUCUGAUCAAACUUAGGUUGUUAGCUUUUGAAACAUGGGUCAACCUAUCUUCACUUUAGGUCGUCAGGAAAACUUUUUGAUCAAACUUAGAUUGUCAGCUUCUGAAACAUAGGUCGACCUAACUUAAUUUAGGUCGUCAACUACGGUCAAACCUAAUUGUGACCUUUGAUGCAGCUUGACAGUUUCUGAUUUUUUUUUUUUCCAAAACACAAUAGUUAACAUAUUUCAAAAAUUGACUUUUAGGGACUUUGUUUGAAGCCUCAAUAAGUUCCCCCCCACGAGCAUUGUAACAUUAGCCUUGUGACUUGUGAAAACGUAUGGGAUUUAUAGUCUGGACCCCCCGAGUAGGAUCAUUUAUCCUCAAUUAUAUUUAUUUGUAAAGCAUGACGCAAAUCACCGACCCUCCUAUUUUCCAUUUACCUUAUCAAAUCAAAACAAAUCAUGUUAUUCAAAGUGUGCAUGUGUUAUAGCUUCAAAUAAAACUUGCGAGACGUGUGUUGGAGUUGAAACAAGUAUUUCUUUUUUUUCUAAUCCACCUUUGAUUUCACAUUUCUCGUUUAAAUGAUUUUCAAAGUAUAUUUUAUUAAAUAUCAUUUAAUAUUAAUUAAGUUCAAUCAUCAAAAUCGAUUAAAAUUUUAUGCUAACACAUUUAAAUUAAUCUAACGGCCUAGAUUUCACUUGAAAUUAUUUAUUUUUCUCCCAAAAAUAUCACUUCAUUUCUCUCAAAGGUGUGGUGCUCACAUAAGUUUUUAUCCAAUGGCCAAAAACCUUUAAAGUAAAGCAUAUUUUUCAUCGCUUGGAUCAAUAUUUUAGUGGGAUCCACAAAAAUAAAUAAAUUAAAUACCUCUUUAUUUAUUUUCAUUUCUCUCAAAUUAGCAACACUUUUUUUGAUUGUAAAAUAACUAUAACGAGUAUGCCUAAGAGUUGGUUUUUUUGGGGGGAGCGUAGUGUCUAUGGGCAUAAGCAACUACUAGUCUAUAAUAUAAAAUACAAUUCAUUUUGAAUUUCAAAACUUCUUAAAUUUCAAAACUAUGUUUCACUAUCUACAUUUAGAAUCCAUAUGAAUUAAUCCAAUGGAUGAGAUUUCACUUGAAUUUUUUUUUCUUCCAAAAACUAUCACUUCCUUCUUGUCAAAGAUGUGGGCCCCAUAUAGGUUAAAAUUCAAUGGCCAAAAAAUCUUUAAAAAUGGGCAUAUGUUUUACCUAUUGGAUCAUUUUUUUAGUAGAACCCACAAAAAAAAUUAAACACACCAUUCUUUUCACUCAUUUUUGAUUUUUUUUUAAUUUAAUAAUUUUAUUAUUACUUGAUCAAAAUUUUAUAUUACUUUAUUUAUUUUGACGAUAAGAGUCUAAAAAUAUAAAACAAUUAUUUAAUUUAAAAAUAAAAAUAAUUUUUUUAUCUUUAGUGAACUUUCUCUUAAAUUAGAUAUUUUUUAUAUUUUUAAACUCUUUUAUCAAAAGAAAUCAAAAAAGUAUAAAAUAUUGAUUAAUUGGUGAAAAAUAUUCACUAAAAAUAAUAAAAGGUGAAAAAUAAAGCAGAUAAAAAAGUUAUCCCAAAUAGAAAAGAAUGUGAUUUUCGUACGUCCAUUUUAUUUAAUUACUUUUUUAAUAUAUUAUUGAAUUAAUUUUAAUCCACAAUGAGUGUAAUUAAAAAUAUUUUAGUAAUAAAAUAAAAUAUUAAAAGGAAUUUAUCAAUAAUAAGGACAAAAAAAAAUCUAUAAUAUAGAAACACAUAUUUUGAAUCUUUCAAAUUUUUCUCUAUCAUAAUAUAAAAUACAACUCAUGUGAAGUUCAAAAAACCAUCUUCCAACUAUAACGGUUGGAAUCUAUUUGAGUGGCCCCACAUAGGAUAUUUUUUUGUCCUUAUUAUUUUUUAACUCAAAAAAAUAUCACUUCAUUCUUCUCAAAUGUGUGAACCCCACAUAGGUUGUUAUCUAAUGGAUAAAAAAUCUCUAAAUAUAAAAGAUAAUUUCGUCAAUCGAUGAAAAAUUAAUUGACAAUAUUUAUCAUUAGAAAUGGAAAAAACAAACAAUUUAGAUGCCAAUAUCGAAGCAAUCAAUCUCAAAGAUUAUAAAGUCCGGCCCAUGUUUAUUGGGUGGCGGAAGCAAAACGUUGGAACGUAGAGGUCUCACUUGAAGGUUAAGUUGGAUAUAGAAGAAGUUUAGAAAGGCUUAAAUUUUAUUCCUCCAAAGUUCCUCAAUAUAUAAUACAAUGUAGAAUUAAAUUAGGAAAGAUAAUAAGGGAAAAUAUUUUAAGAGAGAUCAUGGAUGCCGUCAACAGACCUAGUAUAGAAUAACUAAGAUAGGAAAUUUCCUAAUUAUUAAAAUAGGUAAAGGAAAAUCUUCUUAAUUUGUCACCAAACACUCCCCUCAAGCUGAGGCGAAAAAUAUCGCCGAGCACCCAGUUUGAAAAGAGAUGAUCAACAAUGAGGGACCAAUAGAUUUAGUGAACAUGUCAGCCGUAUGAGCAGGUGAGGAACAAAAAGCUAGGUGUGUUAACUCCUGAACUAACUUUUUUCCGAAUGAAGUGAAUAUCAACUUCAAGUGCUUUGUAUCUCUCAUGAAGAAAGAAACUGAGUCAAGGAUAACAUAAAUAGCUGAAUUAUUGCACAAAAAGGUAAGAUGAGUCUGUCACUGAGAAAACCAACUCAGUUAGAAGAGACCGAAGCCAAAUAAUUUCACUUGUUCCUGACCAUUGGCACCGAUUUUCAUCAGCUUCUGCAGAAGAUCGAGAGACACCAAGUGGCUUGCUUCUUACUUUUCCAAGAUAUGAGAUGAAUACCAUGAAAUGUUACAUCAAAACCAGAGAAGUUUGUAGCGUCAUCACCUUAGAUCCCGCAUAAUCAGCAUCUGUUGUAAAGCUAUGAGAGCCCGAUGGACUCUGGACUUAUAGAACAAUCCACGACCGGGGACACGACUUAAGGUUACAGGAGAAGUGGUCACAGCAUCUAGGUGAGAUGUACGCGACGAGGAUAAAAAACUGGCUCACAAUACUGGACAGCAACUGUGACGGCUCAGGUCUUGUAUUCGUCAAGUAAAUGAGGCGACACACAAAGUCGCGAUAGGAUAGAUUGGAUCUGGCAUUUCCCCUAAACUCGGCUCCCCGAUAUCUUCCAAUUGUACCAUGGACGAGAUGCAAGCUACAGCCAGCAUGCCCGUAUCCUGAAGAAGAUCAAGGAAUACUUCCGCGGGAGAGAUCCCGGGGGGGAGAGAGACGAUACCCUAUGGAAAGACCCCACGAGCAACUCAUAUACUACAGGAGUAACGAAGAGAACCCAAAUCCUGUAAUGUCAAAAGCUUCCUUAGCCCACAAUUCACUUGAACUAGCCAGACCGAAGUACGUCUUUCCGUGAUAAUAAUGUCAUCAACAUAAACUGAGAUAAUUAAUGUACCUAGCCCUGAGACUGAGACGAAUAAAAGCAAGUAUGACUGAGUGGCACUGCUGAAAAUCCCGAGACAAGACUACCUCACUAAGCAGUGGAACCAAGCCCUAGGAGACUGCUUAAGGCCAUAGAUAGAUUUUCGGAUGGCGAUUAAACAUUCCCCGAAUAAUCCUCUCGAGCCCGAAAACCUGAGGUGGGAUCCAUAUAUAUAGUCUCUGAGAGAUCACCAUUGUAAGCCACACAAGCCCAUCUUGACAUCCAAGUGGUGAGAGGUCACGACGUCCGGAGCAGCACAGCAAGGGAAAUCAAAAGACGCAAUGGUAUUCACUUUGGCCAACUAGGGCAACCCAGUAGCACCACAAUCCUUACCAGGGAAUCUGAGUAAAAACAACCGUAGCAACAAGAACGAGCCUUAUAUCGAUCAAACAGUGCGCUUUCCUUUCAAGGCAACGCAAUAAGAUCCAGUCGAUUUCGCUGAAGAGCCUCCAUCUCCGCCUUCAUGGCCGAAACCUACAAAAGGAUUUGGUUAGAGCUUCAUAGACUGAAGCGAGGAUGGAAAUCGAAUCACCUGACUAAGAAAAAGACUAUUAGAAUCUGAAAGACCGUGAUAAGACAAAUAUUGUGCAAUAGGCUGAUUAGUACUAUGAAAAAAGAAAACGAGAAGGGGACGCGAAACACGUGUGGGAUACCGAGGUGGGGGGAAUAUUAGAAACUAAGGAGGAAACAUACCUAACUCCGGAGGGGAGAAGACAACUGGCAAUGGAUAUAGGAGACGAGGGGGAGGGAUUUGGUGUUUGGGGUAAUGAGAGGCGAUCGGGGGCAUGGAGCCAGUUGGUGGAGAGUUAGUUGAUAAAGUAGGCUCAAGUAUAGGAAGAGGACGAGGAGGUAUGGGGGUCAUCUGAGUAAGCAUCUCAGAACAAGGAACCCGGAGAAGGAGUUGGGCAAUCAGAAAAAAAGAGAACAGUUUCCCAAAAAACGUGACUCUAACAAGUGAGACAUAUGACGAGGACAGGAUCAUAACAACCUAUACCCCUUGACAUCGAGGAAUACCCGAGGAAAAUACAACGUACGGCUUAUCAUCUAGUUAGUACGGGUGUUGGGUCCCAAAGGACACGGGGGAUAAAGGAAAUAGGGUAUUAGCAGGAUGAAGGACAUGGCGAGGAGCCCGCCUGUAAUACCCGACUGGGAGGCCGAUUUGAUAAGGUAGGUAGCAAGUGAGAACUGCCAUGUGCCACGAAAUACUUAGGUACCCUCCUACCCCGUAAGAGACACGAAACCCGACAUAAAAAAAAUUAUGACAAUUUGUUAGCUCAGCUACCCCAUUCUUCUCAAGGUGGUGUAGGACAUGUAAGUUGUUGGGAGUUACCACUUUUUUUUAAGUUUCCCACAGAAACUCAUGUGGAUAUACUUCUCGACCAUAUCGGACCUGAUGUUACGCCACAUUCAGUGUAAUUGGGUUUUGAUCAUUUGUAGGAAGUGAGUAAAGUGAGGAAAAAUCUCAGAUUAUGAAGCAGUAAGGUAGGACUAAGUACAACGCAUGUUAAAUCAUCUAUGAAGGUUGACAUAAUAGCGGUGUGAGAGAGUGCAGUAACUGGAGACGGUCCCCAUACGUCUGAAUGAAUAAGUCCAAAGGCACUAGGGGCCUACGAUGCAUACCGAGGAAUAUAAGAGGGGCACGAGGAUGCGUAGUAAACUCACAAAAGCACAGUUAAAAAAUUAAAUUUUUGACAUGCUUAUGAACGAGGAAAAAAGACAACAUAAAUAUUGAAAGUUAGCAUGCCCUAAACGAGGCAGCAUGCCACAAAUCUAAGGUGUGAAACAAAAAAAUAGACGCCUUUAAACCAGACGAACUUAAAACAGAUUGACUCUAACACUGGAGGAGGAGAAAAACCUGGAAGGCUAGAUGACACCGUACCUAGAGGUUAAAGGAUCCCCAAGUAGUAUAGUCCAUCCCGCUUCAUACCCCUUGCCAAAAAUCUUCUUCGAAUCAGGUCCUGCAAGAAGCAAAGAGAUGGUAAGAAAAACAAAGGCACAAAUUAAGAUAUUUUGCAAAGGGGACGACUAAAGACGACUGAACAAAAAGAGGAUUAGAGGGGCAAAAUGAGGUGGUACAUUAAAUAUACAGAUGAAAGGGUAAUAUCGGAGAGGAUAAAAAACGAGCAAACUUCCCUGAUACGAAUGGGGAAUGGGAUGAACCAUUCAGAAUAUAAAUUGAUUGAUGAACAAAAGUAAUAAGGAGUAAAGGUAGUAAGCUCACCAAUCAAUGGAUUAUUUGCUCCUGAUCAAAAUCCAAGUGGGGUGACCUGACUACCCAUGAAGAGCGGGAGGAGUCUAUGCAACUAUAGCGGUGGGGGCCAAAGGAUUGGGACGGCAGGUGCUAAUCCCAGGUGACUUGCCAAGAUGAGCAAUCAGAGCUGAAAGUUGUGAAAGUGUUUUGAAGUCAAGUAAAUUAGCAGGUAUAGGGUCCACUUCAGCAAUACCGCCAGUCCGGGGUAGGCCUCUACCUCGGCCCCACUACGGUCCACCCCCACGACCACCUCCACGAGGUCGAGAAAACCGUUGCUUCAAAUCAGGAUGGAGGAACCCAACAGCGAUCCAAUGAGGUGGACCGGACCUUGUGACAGUGUGAACAAUAUAAGUGGUCCCUGAAGAAAAAACAAAUGCCAUAUGUUGUUUAGGAAACAAUAGGAGAGGACUCGAGUAGUGAAAAGGAUGGUUUAAAGACGGACGCCUCUGCUCAUCACCAUCCACGUAGCAAACGCCUCAUUAAAGGGAAGACAGCUGGUUGAUGUGUUUAAAAUGAGUGCGAAGAGGUCCCAAACUCAGGUUUUUAAACCCAUCAAAAACUGAUAGGUAUGUUGACAUCAAGGGCAUUGGACUAACGCUCCAAUCAAUAGGAAAAUCACUGAGGGCUGUAUUGCAAGCUAAUUACUCCCAUCUUAGUCUGAAGAUAUCCAAAAUAACGGCAAUAGAGAGUUCCAAGGAAUGAGCUGAGAUGAAUGAGCGAUCUUCGGUCGGAUAACUCAAACAAUCGGGACUCUUGCGGGAAUGGCAUACAUCUGGGUCAAUGCAGUCCCACAACCCCAUGGACAGUAUCAUGGUACAUAAACAUGUGUAGACUCGAUCUCCAUCGAGUUGAACAUUCCAGCCCACGAUAAUACAGUAUCUGGAAAUCUAUUUCAUCAAACUUGGGAUCAGAUUCAGCAGGUUUUGGUUCUUUUCCCAGAAUCCAAGGGUCUUGACGCUUUUCACCAAGGAAAAAAAAAGCUGUGGAAUGGAUGAAGGAACGAGACCAAGCAAUGAAAGUUCUUUCCAUUCACAACACGCUCGUUAAACGUUGAGCUGGUGAGACUGAGAAAGAGAAACUGGAACUGGGGCUCAAAACCGGAAACUAUAUGGGCUGGGGAAACUCUUUGAGGAGUCAUCCAUACGCAACACCAAGAACACAAUCGUAAAUUAAUCAGACUUUUUGUACUUUUUUGUUUAGAAUGCAUCAUUACCUAGGCCAGCAUGGUAGACUGCAAAAUGAAGGAUGGGCUUGGGAUGCGUGGUUUGUGGGUGUUGGCUGGACUAGGCUGCACAGGCUGGCUGGCGGACUGGGCUGGCUAGAACUGCCCAUAGCCUUGGUGCACAGGCUGGCUGGCUGGACUAGGCUGUGGAUGAAUUCGGGCUGCACGGCCUUGGCUGCACAGGCUGGAUUGGUGUGGACUGGGCUGCACAGGCUGGAAGGGGGGUAGGGUAGAAUGCAGGGGCUGUGCUGAAAACUACAAGCCUUGGAUUGGCUCUGCACGGUGCAGCGGCAGGGCUGCGUGGUCAAGGAGCAGGGACUGAUGGUGGUGGGGCUGCGUGCUGCUGGACAGAUGGGCUGCGUGGUUGCUGUUGGGACUACCCCACGCCAGGGCUGCACAGGAUGUGCUUGGCUGCACGGUGCAGGGGCAGGCUGCUGGUGGUGGCUGUUAGGGUUUGGGCUGCUUUUUACGACCAUUGGAGGCUAGGUUUUUGUUUUUUGUUGUUGUUGACUUGAUGCCAAGAAGAAGAAGUUUAGAAGGCUUAAAUUUUAUUCCUCCAAAGUUCUCAAGAUCUAAUACACAUGUAGGAAUUAAAUUAGGAAAGAAAUAAGGGAAAAAUUAAAAAGAGAAAUCAUUGGUAUUGGUCAACAUGACCUAUUAUAAAUAACCUACGAUAGGAAAUUCUCAUUAAAUUAAGGUAAAGAAAUCUUCUUAACCUGCCAACAGAUAAUCAGUUUGUGAAAAGCCACCAAAACAACAGACUUACAGAGCGUGACGCCCCCGACAGAGUUUGCUACAGAGAAGUUCAUCCAAUUACGUAGCAUUAAGACGAAAAUUUACAAAUUGAUAAUGACACGUAUUCACAUUUUAGGUACUAGGUGUAUUUUAUACACGACUGGAAGGCACGCCCAUCAACUUUUGCGCUUAAUGUUUGGAUGAUUGACCACUUAAAAAUGUUUGAACUUGAGACUUAGUGGUUGAAAUCCUAUGUUUUUGCCAUCAAACCAACCCUCUUGAUUACUGCACAUUAUUGUUCUUUUCACAUGGUUUUCGAUAUUCAGCUGAUUGAUUGGUAAAGUUUAAAUAUUUGGUAGUGUCGUUGAGAUGAAAACCAAUUUAUAGUGAAGAUUAUUAUAUAUGUGAUAGUCAUGAAUAAUUUAUUAAUUUGUUCUUGAUGUUGAUAUAACUAAUUAACAUAGUAGAAUAUUUGAAUCGGACUUCAAUGCGAUGAAGGUAGGUAAGAAAGUGGCAAACCACGUAAAUUUAGUAUCUUGUGAUUAUUUCAUUGUUAUUUCAUUUGUAUUGUUUGUUAAUUUGUUUUAAUCAUUAAUUUGUUUGAACCUAGAGAAGGAAGACGACAGAUGAAUUAAUUAAAAUUCAUAUGGGAGAAUUUGAAGAAAAUUGUCUUUUGUUGGUUUUUCACCACGGUGAGAGAAUUUCUAAUGAUUUAUGUCAUUCUAGCAAUGUUAUUUUCAAAAUUUAUGAUUUUUACCAUUUUAGCCGUAUUAGUGUUAAAAUUUAGUAUAUUACAAUAUUAUUUUGUCAUUAAUAUUGUUGCAUUGAUUGAAUAUUAUUUUAGUUAUACUAAUAUUUUUUUUAUUAUGGAUCAAAUUUUCACCUAGUAUCAAAAUUGCAUUUUAUUGAUCAUUGUGAAAACAGGCUACCUAAAUUUAAAAAGACACAUUUUGACUAGUUAAUUUGGUUUUAAUUGCUGGGAUGCUCUUAGGUCAAGUUCAUACUUGACCCUUGUGUCUAUUUGUCAUUAAACUUAAUUCAGUAGCUAGCACAAGAUCAGAAAGCUAUAUUGACAUUGGACUUGAAAUGUAAGAGAUUAACUGAUAUAAUUGAAAAUUAAAGUUAUAAAAUGAGAUUAGUAAAAGUACAUUAGAGAAAAGUUUAACUUUUUGAACAUUAAAGACGGGAUGAAGUAGAAAUUUUUAAUUUGCCAAAAUCAUCUGAUUGAACAAGUUAGAGAGGAGAGAGAGAGUGACGUCUUGUUCCCCUUUUCUGGGCCAUUAAACGCGCCAGUG